rnacentral:rRNA from 1 species
UACGUAGGGGCCGAGCGUUGUCCGGAGUUACUGGGCGUAAAGCGCGCGCAGGCGGCUGAUCAAGCCUGACGUGAAAGCCCCCGGCUCAACCGGGGAGGGUCGUCGGGGACUGAUUGGCUUGAGGGCGGUAGGGGCCGGUGGAAUUCCCGGUGUAGUGGUGAAAUGCGUAGAGAUCGGGAGGAACACCAGUAGCGAAGGCGGCCGGCUGGGCCGACCCUGACGCUGAGGCGCGAAGGCGUGGGGAGCGAACGGG